ACGAACGCUGGCGGCGUGCUUAACACAUGCAAGUCGAACGGAAAGGCCCUGCUUUUGUGGGGUGCUCGAGUGGCGAACGGGUGAGUAACACGUGAGUAACCUGCCCUUGACUUUGGGAUAACUUCAGGAAACUGGGGCUAAUACCGGAUAGGAGCUCCUGCUGCAUGGUGGGGGUUGGAAAGUUUCGGCGGUUGGGGAUGGACUCGCGGCUUAUCAGCUUGUUGGUGGGGUAGUGGCUUACCAAGGCUUUGACGGGUAGCCGGCCUGAGAGGGUGACCGGCCACAUUGGGACUGAGAUACGGCCCAGACUCCUACGGGAGGCAGCAGUGGGGAAUAUUGCACAAUGGGCGGAAGCCUGAUGCAGCAACGCCGCGUGCGGGAUGACGCCCUUCGGGUUGUAAACCGCUUUCGCCUGUGACGAAGCGUGAGUGACGGUAAUGGGUAAAGAAGCACCGGCUAACUACGUG
rnacentral:rRNA from 1 species